UACGUAGGGGGCAAGCGUUGUCCGGAAUCAUUGGGCGUAAAGAGCGUGUAGGCGGCUCGGUAAGUCCGCUCUGAAAGCCCGGGGCUCAACCCCGGGAGGCGGGCGGAUACUGUCGAGCUAGAGUCCGGAAGAGGCGAGUGGAAUUCCUGGUGUAGCGGUGAAAUGCGCAGAUAUCAGGAGGAACACCAAUGGCGGAGGCAGCUCGCUGGGACGGUACUGGCGCUGAGACGCGAAAGCGUGGGGAGCAAACAGG
rnacentral:rRNA from 1 species